rnacentral:lncRNA from 1 species
CAUGUGCAAUGACGAACAUUAUAAGAUGUUGAUUUUUAACACUUUUUCAUUAGGCUAACACAUCCAGACUCUCUAUUUGAUAAUCAUUUGCAGAUUAAAGAUCAUUUCAUAAAUAAAAUUUAAGUUCUCUAUUUAAAGAUGAAGAUGUAGAUGAACUUGAAAAAGCAUGUGUAAGUCUCUUAUAUGUAAUAAAUGAAAAAAUAGAUGAUGAAUGAAAAGUACUAGGAGAAGAGGUAGAGGUUCAUGAAUGAGAAG